rnacentral:rRNA from 1 species
AGCUCCAAUAGCGUAUAUUAAAGUUGUUGCAGUUAAAAAGCUCGUAGUUGGAUUUGGGACUGGAGGGAGGACGGUCAGCGCCUUAACUGGUCUGUAUCGGUUCCUUUCCCUCGGGUCAUCACAUUUCCCAGAGGACCUGUCGUGCACUUCACUGUGCGCGGCACUCGGGACUCGGGACGUUUACUUUGAAAAAAUUAGAGUGUUCAAAGCAGGCCAGCCGGGCCGGAAUACAUGAGCAUGGAAUAAUGGAAUAGGACUGCGGUUCUAUUUUGUUGGUUUCAACCUCCGCAGUAAUGAUUAAGAGGGACAGUUGGGGGCAUCCGUAUUUCGUAGUCAGAGGUGAAAUUCUUGGAUUUACGAAAGACGAACAAUUGCGAAAGCACUUGCCAAGAGUGUUUUCAUUA